UACGUAGGGUGCAAGCGUUGUCCGGAAUUAUUGGGCGUAAAGAGCUCGUAGGCGGUCUGUCGCGUCUGCUGUGAAACUCAGGCUUAACCCUGAGCUUGCAGUGGGUACGGGCAGACUAGAGUGCGGUAGGGGAGACUGGAAUUCCUGGUGUAGCGGUGAAAUGCGCAGAUAUCAGGAGGAACACCGGUGGCGAAGGCGGGGUCUCUGGGCCGUAACUGACGCUGGAGGAGCGAAAGCAUGGGGAGCGAACAGG
rnacentral:rRNA from 1 species